rnacentral:rRNA from 1 species
GGACUACUGGGGUUUCUAAUCCUGUUCGCUCCCCACGCUUUCGCUCCUCAGCGUCAGUACAGGCCCAGAGAACCGCCUUCGCCACCGGUGUUCCUCCCGAUAUCUGCGCAUUUCACCGCUACACCGGGAAUUCCAUUCUCCCCUGCCUGCCUCCAGCCGGCCCGUAUCCACUGCACGCCCGGGGUUAAGCCCCGGGAUUUCACAGCAGACGCAACCAGCCGCCUACGAGCUCUUUACGCCCAAUAAUUCCGGACAACGCUCGCGCCCUACGUAUUACCGCGGCGGCUGGCAC